GACGUAGGGCGCGAGCGUGUCCGGAAUUAUUGGGCGAAAGAGCUCGUAGGCGGCUUGUCGCGCGACUGUGAAAACCCGCGGCUCAACUGCGGGCCUGCAGCCGAUACGGGGCAGACUAGAGUGCGGGUAGGGGGAGACUGGAAUUCCUGGUGUAGCGGUGAAAUGCGCAGAUAUCAGGAGGAACACCGGUGGCGAAGGCGGGGUCUCUGGGGCCGUAACUGACGCUGAGGAGCGAAAGCGUGGGGGAGCGAAACAGGG
rnacentral:rRNA from 1 species